rnacentral:miRNA from 1 species
AGUGGGAUUGCUGGUCAGAUGGUUGUUCCAUUCUGAGUUUUCUGAGGAAUCUCCAUACAGCUUUUCAGAGUGGAUGCACCAAUUUGCAGUCCCACCAGCAAU